GCCUUUGUGGUGUAGUGGUCAGCACGCUUGGUGCAUAUCCGAGAGGUCCAUGGUUCGAGUCCUUGUGAGGGCA
rfam:Stegodyphus mimosarum contig87818, whole genome shotgun sequence.